rnacentral:tRNA from 1 species
GGAGAGGUGGCCGAGCAGUAAGGCAGCAGCACGUUGCUAAGGCGCCGAGUCCCCUCGGGACGCGCAGGUUCGAUCUCUGUCCUCACCU